CACAGUUCCCGCUCAGCCCAGUCAAAACUGUUCGCUGCUCUGGCACCCCAAUGGUGGAACAAGCUCCCUCACGACGCCAGGACAGCGGAGUCAAUCACCACCUUCCGGAGACACCUGAAACCCCACCUCUUCAAGGAAUACCUGGGUUAGGAUAAGGGCUUGAAAACUGUUAAGGACUACAAAGGGAAACCCAGCCUCGAGCUGCCAAGUGACGUGAGCCAACCAGACAAGCUAAAUACCUUUUGUGCUCACUUCGAGGCAAGCAACACUGAAGCAUGCAUGAGAGCACCAGCUGUUCUGGACAACUGUGUGAUCACGCUCUCCGUAGCCGAUGUGAGCAAGACCUUUAAACAGGUCAACAUUCACAAAGCCGCGGGGCCAGAUGGAUUACCAGGACGUGUACUCAAAGCAUGUGCAGACCAACUGGCAAGUGUCUUCACUGACAUUUUCAACCUCUCCCUGACCGAGUCUGUAAUACCCACAUGUUUUAAACAAACCACCAUAGUCCCUGUCCCCAAGAAAGAGAAGAUAGCCUGCCUAAAUUAUUACCGCCCAGUAGCACUCACAUCAGUAGCCAUAAAGUGCUUUGAAAGGCUGGUCACAUCAACACUAUCAUGCCGGAAACCCGAGACCCACUCCAAUUCACAUACCGCCCCAACAGAUCCACAGAUGACGCAAUCUCAAUCGCACUCCACACUGCCCUUUCCCACCUGGACGAAAGGAACAACUAUGUGAGAAUGCUGUUCAUUGACUACAGCUCAGCGUUCAACACCAUAGUGUCCACAAAGCUCACUGUUGUGCUGACAACCCGACAGUGGUAGGCCUGAUCACCAACAAUGAUGAGACAGCCUAUAGUGAGGAAGUCAGAGACCUGGCUGUGUGGUGCCAGGACAACAACCUCUCCCUCAGUGUGAGCAAGACAAAGGAGCUGAUCGUGGACUACAGGAAAAGGAGGACCGAACAGGCACCCAUUAACAUUGACGGUGCUGAAGUGGAGCGGGUUGAGAGUUUCAAGUACCUUGGUGUCCACAUCGCAAACAAACUAUCAUGGUCCAAACACACCAAGACAGUUGUGAAGAUGGCAAGAGAACACCUUUUCCCCCUCAGGAGACUGAAAAGAUUGAGAACAUCCUGACCGGUUGCAUCACUGCCUGGUAUGGCAACUGCUCAGCAUCCAACCUUAAGGCGUUACAGAGGGUAGUGCGUAUGGCCCAGUACAUCAAUGGGCCAAGCUUCCUGACAUCCAGGACCUACAUACUAGGUGGUGUCAGAGUACACCAGCACAUUGACUCGGUACCUGUACCCCCUGUAUUUUGCCUCGAUAUUGUUAUGUAAUUCUCUUGUAUUACUUUUAGAUAUUAUUUUGUUUAUUUUUUUCACUUUAGUAUAUUUAGUAAAUAUAUUCUUAACUCUAUUUCUUGGUGGGCAGGAGGACAGGAGAGAAGGGGGGUAUGUGUGCAUCAAAUUAUUAUCUGAUUUGAGGGAGGCGGAGGACAACAGUUCAGAGUGAAUACAAAGUAUGUGAAUAUGAGUUCGAUACUCUGUGGGCUGGUAGCCUUGCAGUGCUGCAGUGCUGACUGACUUGGUUUGGUUUCCAUGUUCACCUGCUGUUGAGUAGAAGGUUGUUACAGCACAGGAGGGAGAUACUCCCCACAGGCUGUAUCCCAAAUGGCACCCUAUUCCCUAGUGAAAAGUAAUGCACUAUAUAGGAAAUAUGGUACCAUUGGGUGACCCUCUCUUUAGCCCCCUAUGGAUUCAUAUUUCCUGGCCACAUAACUAUAGUCUAAUGCAUAUUUGCCUCAACCACUUGUGAAAUUCCUCACAUUAACUUUAUUUCUGACACAAAAUGUUUGGAAGCUGCUUGACAUAAUGAAGAGAGGCGCGAGAGUAAGAAAAUGCAUACCAUGCGUUCACAGCCAAUCUGUCUGCAUAAAUGCCAUUCCUGUCCUUACGGGGGUGGAGAUAUAAACCCUUUCUCCCCCGAAGACAAUAAAUACUUUACAGCU
rnacentral:lncRNA from 1 species